ensembl:lncRNA
AGAGGAUUGAGGCUCAUUCUAUCACACUCACUCACAGCAGCGAGAGCGCGGAGGAUGGAGGCGACUGAAGCGCUAGGAGCCUGUAAGCAGUUUAAGAGCUGAUUUCAUCUCGGUGGGGAAUGUCUUCCUAUCUCUGGCCUGUCACUUAGAUACCACCGGAACGAUGGUUAGAGAAGGGAGGAGAGACCAUGGUACGGGAACAAUAGGUCAUAUCUGA